CUGCCGGUGUAAACCGAGAGGAAGUGGGGAUGACGUCAAAUCAGCACGGCCCUUACUGUCCAGGGCGUACACACGUGUUACAAUGGCCGGUACAGAGGGCAGCUACCUGGAGACAGGAUGCGAAUCUCGAAAGCCGGUCUCAGUUCAGAUUGUAGGCUGCAACCCGCCUGCAUGAAGAUGGAGUUGCUAGUAACCGCAGGUCAGCUAUACUGCGGUGAAUACGUUCCCGGGGCUU
rnacentral:rRNA from 1 species